rnacentral:rRNA from 1 species
UACGAAGGGUGCAAGCGUUACUCGGAAUUACUGGGCGUAAAGCGUGCGUAGGUGGUUUGUUAAGUCUGUUGUGAAAGCCCCGGGCUCAACCUGGGAAUGGCAAUGGAUACUGGCAAGCUAGAGUGCGGUAGAGGGUAGUGGAAUUCCCGGUGUAGCGGUGAAAUGCGUAGAGAUCGGGGAGGAACACCAGGUGGCGAAGGCGGCUACCUGGCCAGCACGUGACACUGAGGCACGGAAGCGUGGGAGCAACA